UGGAGGAGUAGCGAAGUGGCUAAACGCGGCGGUCUGUAAAACCGCUCUCCCUGAGUUCGGUGGUUCGAAUCCACUCUCCUCCAUAAUAGGGAUAUAGUUUAAAGGUAGAACAACGGUCUCCAAAACCGUUGGUGUGGGUUCAAUUCCUACUAUCCCUGUUAG
rnacentral:tRNA from 1 species